UUUCCUUCCUUUUUCAGGGGUCUUGGCUGAAGCAGUCGGUGGCACCCAGGCCUGAGCAUCAUUUCCUGCUCCUCGCACAGAGAGGGUGGAUGCGUCACCAGUUGUAGGGUUUCCCUGUCAACUCUCGUGAAUGGUGCAGGAAAAACACCAGAAUUGCCUAGCUACAGGGCGCCGCCAUUGUGGACACCCAAAGUUGUGCGGAAAAGAAAAGUUGACAGGAGAUCUGAUUGGUCAUUAACAGAAAAUCUUUGUGAUGGAAUUUAAUAGUGAAAUAUAAGUGAUAAAAAUGACAGGUGACAUAACAGAAUAUGUAGAAA